ACCCCUGUUGCAGGCCUCGACCGAGAUUCCUCGACAAAUGACCCCCAUCUGAGCUUCUGCGAAGAUCAAACUCCAACCGAACUUCGACCGACAGGUCUGGACCCUCUGGCAGGCCCCAGUAACGGCCACAACUCUGCUCCACCUCCUGUGAUGGAUUCCACGCAGCUCCAUCACUCCCUGACAGGCCGCAGUAAUGGCCACAACUUUGCUCCACUUCCUGCGAUGAAUUCUGCACGGCUCCAUCACUCCCUAACAGACCACAAUAAUGGCCACAAUCCUACUCCACUUCCUACGACAAAUAUCGCACGGAUCCUCCAUCCUCUGGCA
rnacentral:lncRNA from 1 species